UUAGCAGCUCUGGAGCCUGAAAUCCUUUGUUUUUCCACAGAAGAGGUUUAGCAAGGGUAGUGGCAGUACAAGCAUCCCCAUAUUGCCCUACUGAAGUGCCUCAAAGCAGACUUACAGGAAACUGUUCUAGGGAUGAGAAGCAGCUGUGAAUUUAAGUGUGCAUAUAAAUUGGGGGCUAAA
ensembl:misc_RNA